AAAUCCUUCCCCAAAGGCUGCAAGAUAGUUUGAAAUAAGAGGGCCAGGGUCUCAUCAUAUGGAAGAAAACAAGUAUUCUCAUCUCAGCCUCAUGCCCUGGCCUGGAAUUUGAAGACCUCUGUUCACCCCAGCUGAAAGUCAACCAUUCCUGAAACAAGCGUCAGGAAACUGGCUUCAUGCCUAGUGACUGCAGUGGAAGUGGGAAUAAGUUUUUUUAUAUAUGCUGCUUGUUUCCUAAUUUAAUUCUCCAAGAAGAGACGCAAAAUUGGAUGGUAGAUGAGAUGCUUUUAUUAGACACACCUAUGUCCAUCAAUAUACUGGGAAGGAUCAG